CUCAGCUUAGAGCGCGCGCACGGUAACGCGCUUCCCUCAGGGCGAGCCUUGCUUUGGGCCGCCUCAGCCUGCAGUCUCACCUCUGUGUGUGGUUACGGCGCUUGUGUCUUGCAGCUUCGCUUGUUAUUGGUAUACGUGGAACUGAAAAGCAAACAGAUCCACUGAAGUGUUGUGUUUUUUGCACCUAUCAUCACCCUCAAGUCUCCGUAUAACGUGUGGUAAAAAAUGGGGCAAUGGAGAAAUGACAUAUUCAAUGGACAGGGCACUAUAAUUCAUUGUUCCUGUGACAUCUGUGAUAGACUGUGGAUCAAUGGGUGCACUGCUGAAGUUACAGUGUCCUGUUCAGAAUGAGUUUAUGCUGUUUUGUGAAGUAGCUUGAUUUUCCUGUUGCACUGCUAAUGGCCGCUCUGGGUUUGAUAGCUCAGAACAGAUGAGGUGAUGCUGGUGGACGGCCUGCUUCCCUGGUGCAGUAUGGCCUAGGUGUUUGUCAUGUCUAAGAUAUAGCUACUGGACAUGAUCAUGCCUCGCUAUGGCGCAGCUUCCACAAUGAGGUCACCUGCAGCUUGCAAAAGCAUCUUGCUGCCAUCUCCCUCCACCAGAACAGUAAGCCGGAAUGAAACGUCUGAUUCCUGUUCUCUCACAGGUGCUUCUGAAGUUGCCAUUUGGAAGCAGCAGUUUCUCCUGAAAGGUGGAGAAGGCAAUGCCAAAGUUCAGAGAAGAGAAAUAGCACGAGAUCGGUCCUGCGGUGGCUUUGCUUUUUGCUUGACUAAGUUAUUCUUUCCCCCAUCCCACUGGGAAGAGGGACAGUGAGCGAACGACUGCGUGCAGCUCAGCCACCUGCCAGCUUAAUCCACAGCAGAAGUUUACAGAAGUAUGCAGAUUUUAUUUUUAUCUUUAUUUUUAACAAAUCUGACCUUUGCAGCAGUAAAUCUGGUUUUCCUUUGGUCUCUGUAGGUUCCAUACUUUUUCUGUAGUUUCUUCUUGUCCUGCCUGUGUGGUGGUGGUGGUUGCUGUUGUUGUUGUAGCUCAUACAAACAGGAGAGACAAGAGUAGUCACUAGUGAUAAGUGAUAGAAAGGGCAGAGGCCUGAGCUAGCUGGGCCAGAAUAGGCUCUGGGAAGUAUUUAGGAGCAUGAAAUUCUCAAGCUUCCAGAUUAAGGAGCUGACUCAGCAGACAACAAAUACAAAAGUAAAUCCAAAAAGAUGAGCCAGAAAACCCACGGAUACUGUACACAACAAUUCAACUAAAUCAGUUCAGCACAGAGAUCUGUGGAAGCUUUUUUUCCUCCCCAACACAAGUCUGUGAGAAUUUGCAUUGCAGUCAGGUAUACUUAAAGUGCACAUAAGCCAUCUAAUAAAAAUUCCACUGGAGUGUACGUCACACAGCUGGGUUUUAUUAUAUUUGUGCUCUCUUCCCACUGACAGUGCCUUUAUAACUGGAUUACUCACAUAUCAUCAUUAACUGUGACACUCCUGGGUUUUUACUGCUUCCCUGGUUCCUAUCAUCUUCUGCAAGUUUUAUCCCUUCCUUGCAGAUGUGCCAAGAUGUAUUUCUUUAAUAUCUUUUCGGCGGAUGAACAUGGGAGCACAUAAAAAGUAUGGUUUGGACACCAUGGGCAGCGACAAGGGCUGUCUUCAUUUCUGCCCCAACCCCCUAUCAAACCUCUGCCCUGCUAUGUGUGCACUGAGUUUUCCCUUUGCUCCGUUAGGUGUAAAUAAGGGGUGCUGCUAACAGUAAGAUGGAAAGGAGUGAGGCACGGUGCUGAGCUCUUGUUUAAUUCUGGUUGUGAUAUUUCAUAGCCAUUUUUACCAUUUGUCCUCCAUACGAGUGC
ensembl:lncRNA